UGAAGGAGGGCAAAGACAAAAGCUGAGUAGAAGCUAGACAAAGAAAUCAUAAUUGAAUUUAAUUAAAUGAGUUAUCUCCUUAAAACUAGUUCUGGCUCACUGAGUGGUGAAAUGACAUUUGGAGCAUCUAGCAGGGUUUAUGCACCACCCACAAUCUCCGCCUUGUCAUGCAGCCAUUUUCUGCACAGACAGACAAAAGAUGAGGACGAACUCAGACAUUUUCCAAUCAGCGUUCCUGGAGCUCGGCCAUGACUCAUUUAGGCUACAAGACGACCUUGACAUUCAGUGGGCAGGGGUCUGCGCUUUUGUGUGUGUGUGUGUGUGUGUGUGUGUG